rnacentral:lncRNA from 1 species
AGGGCCUCUUUGGUGGCUCCGCCGGCCUCAUCGGCCUCGGCCGCCACCCCAUCUCCUUCGUCCAACAAACCGCCGCCGUAUAUCGUAAAAUCUUCUCCUACUGCCUCCCCGCCACCUCCAGCUCCACCGGCCGCCUCUCCUUCGGCACCACCACCACUUCCUACGUCAAGUACACCCCCUUCUCCACCAUCUCCCGCGGCUCCUCCUUCUACGGCCUCGACAUCACCGGCAUCUCCGUGGGCGGCGCCAAACUCCCAGUCUCCUCCUCCACCUUCUCCACCGGCGGUGCAAUCAUCGACUCCGGCACCGUGAUCACCCGCCUCCCCCCCACCGCCUACACCGCCCUCCGCUCCGCCUUCAGGCAAGGCAUGUCCAAAUACCCCUCCGCCGGGGAACUCUCCAUACUCGACACGUGUUAUGAUCUCAGCGG